rnacentral:lncRNA from 1 species
AAAUUAUUGUAACGCCCCUAAUAGUCCCACAUCGAAUGGGAUACUGAUUCUGAUUAGUUUAUAUGAGGCCUACACGCUAGUAAUAAUAACCCGGCUUAAACAUUUUGGACUGUGGUUGGGCCCAACGAGUUAUUAUUGCUAGUGGGCUGGGUCGUUGUAAUUGGUAUCAGAGCCAGUUCACCAGCUGGAUAUGUGUGGCAAGUCUCGGCUGAGCUAGGGUCUGGAUGACGGGCUAGUGAGAUGAGUCUCAGAUCGCCUGGUGAUCUUGGACUGUGUGUGUGAUUGGACUGACGAGGACGUCAGAGCCUUAACAGGGGGUAUCUGUGAUACUCCAAU